AGCUUGACACUGAACAUUGAGCCUUGAUGUGUAGGAUAGGUGGGAGGCUUUGAAGCGUGGACGCCAGUCUGCGUGGAGCCAUCCUUGAAAUACCACCCUUUAAUGUUUGAUGUUCUAACUCGGCCCCGUAAUCCGGGGUGAGGACAGUGUCUGGUGGGUAGUUUGACUGGGGCGGUCUCCUCCCAAAGAGUAACGGAGGAGCACGAAGGUUAGCUAAUCACGGUCGGACAUCGUGAGGUUAGUGCAAAGGCAUAAGCUAGC
rnacentral:rRNA from 1 species